CUAAAUCCUAAAAUCCCUAAUCACUUAAUCAUCCUAAAUCCUAAUUCCUACUCAGCUCGUUAGCCGUCUGCCCGUUUCCAUUCUCGACCGUCGACCGUCGUCGCGUCUGCCGUCAACCCACGUCGUCGACCGUCGUCGCGUCUGCCCAGCCUCGCCGACCUCUCCCACCGUCGUCGCAUCUGCUCCGGCGUCGUCCAAGAAACUGCAGAUCAGCCUUCGACCGUCGUGGACGUCUCCCCCGCCGUCGCGUCUGCCCAGCCUCGCCGACGCUUCCCCCCGCCGUCGCUUCUCCUCCCCGGCACCGUCGCGUCUCAGCCGUCGCUUCUGCCCAGGAGUACAGGAGAAAAGGUUGAUACAGAUCUACAGCUCAGGUCAUUGGCGAGGCUAAACGGCGAGGCGGUGACUCCGACUGGUUCAGGUGGAAAUGGUGGAAUUUGGACAAGAAGAGAUAGAGUUGAAGGCUUGAAUUGUUAUUUUUUUUUGGUGUGCUGUGGAGUUUGCAUCAAAUCGUAGAUUGUUUGUAGAAAGUGGAUGUGUGUUGUGGAGUUUGCUAUUUUCAGUAAGAACUCUCAUCACAGGAAAGGAGUGAAGACUGCUUCUGCUAGUAUAUCUCAUCAUGUGAGUUGUUGGAAGAACUCAAAGUUGGGACGAAUAUUAUAUCUGUGCAUCAAAAACUGAUUGGUGAAGGUUC